GACUGGGUGGCUCAGUGGUUGAGCAUCUGCCUUUGGCUCAGGUCGUGAUCCCAGGGUCCUGGGAUCGAGUCCCACCUCGGGCU
rnacentral:tRNA from 1 species